rnacentral:rRNA from 1 species
CAGUCGCCACGGGAAUACGUAUGUCGCGAGCGUUAUCCGGAAUUAUUGGGCAUAAAGGGCAUCUAGGCGGCCGGAUAAGUCUGGGGUGAAAACUUGCGGCUCAACCGCAAGCCUGCCCUGGAAACUAUGCGGCUAGAGUACUGGAGAGGUGGACGGAACUGCACGAGUAGAGGUGAAAUUCGUAGAUAUGUGCAGGAAUGCCGAUGAUGAAGAUAGUCCACUGGACGGUAACUGACGCUGAAGUGCGAAAGCUAGGGGAGCAAACAGGAUUAGAGACCCCCGUAGUCCCUGUCUCUUAUAA